UCCACCGUGAGGUGGAAUCCGAAGGAAGCUGGAUAUGGGGAACAUACUAACCCAUGGGCAAAUCUCCGGUCUGACGAACAGAAAUCUCAUAUGAGGUCAUGCAUGAGGGUAAGGCUGCCAAACAAGUCGAAGCCCAAUAACUACACGGAAUCAUGCAGGAUAGAUGAGGCAGAUGGAUGGAGAGGAAGAAACGUGU
rnacentral:ncRNA from 1 species